rnacentral:rRNA from 1 species
CCUACGGGAGGCAGCAGUGAGGAAUAUUGGUCAAUGGGCGGAAGCCUGAACCAGCCAAGUCGCGUGAGGGAAUAAGGCCCUACGGGUCGUAAACCUCUUUUGCCGGGGAGCAAGGGCCGGGACGAGUCCCGGUCCGGAGAGUACCCGGAGAAAAAGCAUCGGCUAACUCCGUGCCAGCAGCCGCGGUAAUACGGAGGAUGCGAGCGUUAUACGGAUUUAUUGGGUUUAAAGGGUGCGUAGGCGGGAGGUUAAGUCAGCGGUAAAAGUUCGGGGCUCAACACCGUCCGGCCGUUGAAACUGGGGGCCUUGAGUGGGCGAGAAGAAGGCGGAAUGCGUGGUGUAGCGGUGAAAUGCAUAGAGAUCACGCAGAACCCCGAUUGCGAAGGCAGCCUUCCGGCGCCCUACUGACGCUGAGGCACGAAAGUGUGGGGAUCGAACAGGAUUAGAUACCCGGGUAGUC